AUGCUCGGCCGGACACUCAAGUUACCAGAGAGGCACUUGAGCGCCAGCGCGGCGGCCUUCUGUGCGCCGGAGAGGGAGUACUGGCCGCCCAGCCGCGCGUCCAGGAUGUGGGAGAUCUGGCGCUUGCUCCUCAGGUGCGGUCGCGCCCACUCCACCAGGUCUUGCUCACCGGAUGGCCGGUUCCUGUCCAGUCGGCGCCGGCCUGCCAGUAUCUCCAGCAGAACCACCCCGAAACUGUACACGUUGCUCUCAGCCGUCGGGUCCUCUGUCAAAGCAAAGAUUCAGAAAGGACUAGGAGUAGUUCAUAUUCUUUCUAACGAAAUGCAGUGUCACUGCGACUAG
rnacentral:rRNA from 1 species